rnacentral:rRNA from 1 species
UACGUAGGGGGCAAGCGUUGUCCGGAAUCAUUGGGCGUAAAGAGCGUGUAGGCGGUCUGUUGCGUCCGCUGUGAAAACUCGGGGGCUUAACCCCGAGCCUGCAGUGGAUACGGGCAGACUAGAGGUAGGUAGGGGAGAAUGGAAUUCCCGGUGUAGCGGUGAAAUGCGCAGAUAUCGGGAGGAACACCGGUGGCGAAGGCGGUUCUCUGGGCCUUACCUGACGCUGAGGAGCGAAAGCGUGGGGAGCGAACAGG